CAGUAGCCGCGGGAACACAGAGGGUGCGAGCGUUAAUCGGAUUUACUGGGCGUAAAGCGUGCGUAGGCGGCUUCUUAAGUCGGAUGUGAAAUCCCUGAGCUUAACUUAGGAAUUGCAUUCGAUACUGGGAAGCUAGAGUAUGGGAGAGGAUGGUAGAAUUCCAGGUGUAGCGGUGAAAUGCGUAGAGAUCUGGAGGAAUACCGAUGGCGAAGGCAGCCAUCUGGCCUAAUACUGACGCUGAGGUACGAAAGCAUGGGGAGCAAACAGGAUUAGAUACCCCAGUAGUCCCUGUCUCUUAUAC
rnacentral:rRNA from 1 species